rnacentral:rRNA from 1 species
CACGUAGGGGGCGAGCGUUGUCCGGAAUUAUUGGGCGUAAAGAGCUCGUAGGCGGUUCGUCGCGUCGGCUGUGAAAUCCCGAGGCUCAACCUCGGGUCUGCAGUCGAUACGGGCGGACUGGAGUACUGCAGGGGAGACUGGAAUUCCUGGUGUAGCGGUGAAAUGCGCAGAUAUCAGGAGGAACACCGGUGGCGAAGGCGGGUCUCUGGGCAGUUACUGACGCUGAGGAGCGAAAGCGUGGGGAGCGAACAGG